rnacentral:rRNA from 1 species
CGAGCCGGAACCUUUGGNAGCUUGCUCCAUCGGUUUAGCGGCGGACGGGUGAGUAACACGUGGGCAACCUGCCCUGCAGAUCGGGAUAACUCCGGGAAACCGGUGCUAAUACCGAAUAGUUUGGGGCCUCUCCUGAGGCCCCACGGAAAGACGGUUUCGGCUGUCACUGCAGGAUGGGCCCGCGGCGCAUUAGCUAGUUGGUGGGGUAAUGGCCCACCAAGGCGACGAUGCGUAGCCGACCUGAGAGGGUGAUCGGCCACACUGGGACUGAGACACGGCCCAGACUCCUACGGGAGGCAGCAGUAGGGAAUCUUCCGCAAUGGACGCAAGUCUGACGGAGCAACGCCGCGUGAGUGACGAAGGUUUUCGGAUCGUAAAACUCUGUUGUGAGGGAAGAACAAGUACCAAGUAACUACUGGUACCUUGACGGUACCUCACCAGAAAGCCACGGCUAACUACGUGCCAGCAGCCGCGGUAAUACGUAGGUGGCAAGCGUUGUCCGGAAUUAUUGGGCGUAAAGCGCGCGCAGGCGGUCCCUUAAGUCUGAUGUGAAAGCCCACGGCUCAACCGUGGAGGGUCAUUGGAAACUGGGGGACUUGAGUGCAGAAGAGGAAAGUGGAAUUCCAUGUGUAGCGGUGAAAUGCGUAGAGAUGUGGAGGAACACCAGUGGCGAAGGCGACUUUCUGGUCUGUAACUGACGCUGAGGCGCGAAAGCGUGGGGAGCA